GACGAACGCUGGCGGCGUGCUUAACACAUGCAAGUCGAACGGAAAGGCCCUGCUUUUGUGGGGUGCUCGAGUGGCGAACGGGUGAGUAACACGUGAGUAACCUGCCCUUGACUUUGGGAUAACUUCAGGAAACUGGGGCUAAUACCGGAUAGGAGCUCCUGCUGCAUGGUGGGGGUUGGAAAGUUUCGGCGGUUGGGGAUGGACUCGCGGCUUAUCAGCUUGUUGGUGGGGUAGUGGCUUACCAAGGCUUUGACGGGUAGCCGGCCUGAGAGGGUGACCGGCCACAUUGGGACUGAGAUACGGCCCAGACUCCUACGGGAGGCAGCAGUGGGGAAUAUUGCACAAUGGGCGGAAGCCUGAUGCAGCAACGCCGCGUGCGGGAUGACGGCCUUCGGGUUGUAAACCGCUUUCGCCUGUGACGAAGCGUGAGUGACGGUAAUGGGUAAAGAAGCACCGGCUAACUACGUGCCAGCAGCCGCGGUGAUACGUAGGGUGCGAGCGUUGUCCGGAUUUAUUGGGCGUAAAGGGCUCGUAGGUGGUUGAUCGCGUCGGAAGUGUAAUCUUGGGGCUUAACCCUGAGCGUGCUUUCGAUACGGGUUGACUUGAGGAAGGUAGGGGAGAAUGGAAUUCCUGGUGGAGCGGUGGAAUGCGCAGAUAUCAGGAGGAACACCAGUGGCGAAGGCGGUUCUCUGGGCCUUUCCUGACGCUGAGGAGCGAAAGCGUGGGGAGCGAACAGGCUUAGAUACCCUGGUAGUCCACGCUGUAAACGGUGGGUACUAGGUGUGGGGUCCAUUCCACGGGUUCCGUGCCGUAGCUAACGCUUUAAGUACCCCGCCUGGGGAGUACGGCCGCAAGGCUAAAACUCAAAGGAAUUGACGGGGCCCCGCACAAGCGGCGGAGCAUGCGGAUUAAUUCGAUGCAACGCGUAGAACCUUACCUGGGUUUGACAUGGAUCGGGAGCGCUCAGAGAUGGGUGUGCCUCUUUUGGGGUCGGUUCACAGGUGGUGCAUGGCUGUCGUCAGCUCGUGUCGUGAGAUGUUGGGUUAAGUCCCGCAACGAGCGCAACCCUUGUUCACUGUUGCCAGCACGUUAUGGUGGGGACUCAGUGGAGACCGCCGGGGUCAACUCGGAGGAAGGUGGGGAUGACGUCAAGUCAUCAUGCCCCUUAUGUCCAGGGCUUCACGCAUGCUACAAUGGCUGGUACAGAGAGUGGCGAGCCUGUGAGGGUGAGCGAAUCUCGGAAAGCCGGUCUCAGUUCGGAUUGGGGUCUGCAACUCGACCUCAUGAAGUCGGAGUCGCUAGUAAUCAAAGAUCAGCAACGCUGCGGUGAAUACGUUCCCGGG
rnacentral:rRNA from 1 species